UGCCCUGCCCUGCCCUGCCCUGCCCUGCCCUGCCCGAGCCACCGCGCUGCCGCCGCCGCCGGUGCGCAGCUUAGAGCUCUGACAAAGUCUCGGCGUCUCACGGGCUGCUCCUCACUGGCUCUCUGAGAGGAGCUGGCAAAGUUAAAGAUGAAGGGGCAGAGUGUCUCGCUCAACAAGUUUGCUGAUGACACAAAGCCGGGAGGAGUGGCCGAUAGUGCAGCCCUUCAGAAAGACCUCGACAGCUUGAAAAAAGGGUCAGACAAGAACUGCCUGGAAUUCAGAGGCAAAUGCAGAGCCCUGCACCUGGGGAGGAAUAACCCUGCCACCAGCACAGGCUGGGGCUGACCUGCUCUGUGGAGAAGGACCUGGGGGUCCUGGUGGACAACAAGCUGUCCCUGAGCCAGCAAUGUGUCCUUGGGGACAAGGCCAGUGGUAUCCAUAAAGAGCAUUCCCAGCAGGUCGAGGGAGGUGAUCCUGCCCCUCUGCUCAGCCCUGGGGCCUUGGACUGAGUGAUGUUUGCAGCAGUCCAGAUGUGAAGGCUGGUUCUGCAUUAAGUCACCCUGAUCUUCUAAUCCCAGCCUGUCACAGGAACAAGAAUUUCAUCUACAGUUGCUGAAUUUUUCAAAGUGAAGGAAAAAGGACUUUACAUAGAUAAGCCAGAUAUUUAGAAAAGUCCACAAAGAGUAGAAGAGAUAUUUUUGGAGAAGGACACUUGGAACUCACUUGAGCCAGGAUAUGCUGACCAAAGGAACCAUUCCAGCUCCCCUUCAUAUUGCUGGAAGAGUCGUCUUUAAGGGUCUUUAAUUGCCUUAGCCAGCGGUAUGCAGCGGUAUCUUGGGCAUAAAGGAAUUUCUUAGCCACAUGUCAACACCACGAUUUCUGAACAGUUGAGUUCACUGCAAAUGAUGUAGAGCAUUACAGAAUGCCUGGUGGAAAAAGAGCCUGCCCAGGUGAUUGUGAUGUGAUCAUACUCUGGUAAGAGGAAUGCAUCAGUUAUCUCAUUAUAUUUUGGAUCAGAGUCUAAAUGAGAUUUGAAUACCUUGAGAUACCAAUGACUUCAGCAAUACCUAAUGAUUUGACCAGCAGGAUAUUGCUUUACCAAGACAGAGAGGCAUUGUAGAAGACAAUUUUACUCAGUAAAAUAUAAGUGGAAUAAAGACAGGCAGAAGCUGCCAGAACUGGGAAACCAUACUUCAUGGACUUGUUUCAUCUAUUUAACA